rnacentral:tRNA from 1 species
UAGGAGGUAGUAUAGUAGGUAGUACGUGAGAGUUUGAUUCUCGUGGUGCGGGUUCGUGUCCCGGUCUCUUAU